rnacentral:rRNA from 1 species
UACGGAGGAUCCAAGCGUUAUCCGGAUUUAUUGGGUUUAAAGGGAGCGUAGGCGGCUUAUUAAGUCAGGGGUGAAAGACGGUGGCUCAACCAUCGCAGUGCCUUUGAUACUGAUGAGCUUGAAUAUAGUUGAGGUAGGCGGAAUGUGACAAGUAGCGGUGAAAUGCAUAGAUAUGUCACAGAACACCGAUUGCGAAGGCAGCUUACUAAGCUAUUAUUGACGCUGAGGCUCGAAAGCGUGGGGAUCAAACAGG